rnacentral:rRNA from 1 species
UACGUAGGGUGCAAGCGUUUGUCCGGAAUUAUUGGGCGUAAAGGGCUCGUAGGCGGUCCAUCGCGUCGGGAGUGAAAAGCUGGGGCUCAACCCCAGUCCUGCUUCCGAUACGGGUGGACUAGAGGUAGGCAGGGGAGAACGGAAUUCCUGGUGUAGCGGUGAAAUGCGCAGAUAUCAGGAGGAACACCGGUGGUGUAGACGGCUCUCUGGACCGUAACUGACGCUGAGACACGAAAGCGUGGGUAGCAAACAGG